UGAUUAGAUACCCGCGUAGUCCCAGCUGUAAGCGAUGCAGGCUAGGUGUUUGGGCGGCCACGUGCCGCUCUAGUGCCGCAGGGAAGCUGUUAAGCCUGCCGCCUGGGGAGUACGAUCGCAAGAUUGAAACUUAAAGGAAUUGGCGGGGGAGCACCACAAGGGGUGAAGCUUGCGGUUUAAUUGGAGUCAACGCCGGAAAUCUCACCGGGAGCGACAGCAGUGUGAAGGCCAGAUUAAAGGUCUUGCCAGACGAGCUGAGAGGAGGUGCAUGGCA
rnacentral:rRNA from 1 species